CCUACGGGUGGCAGCAGUGGGGGAUAUUGCACAAUGGGGGGCACCCUGAUGCAGCGACGCCGCGUGGGUGAAGGAGCGUUUCGGCGCGUAAAGCCCUAUCGGCAGGGAAGAAGAUGACGGUACCUGUAUAAGCAGCCCCGGCUAACUCCGUGCCAGCAGCCGCGGUAAUACGGAGGGGGCGAGCGUUGUUCGGAGUGACUGGGCGUAAAGAGCACGUAGGCGGUGUUGUAAGUCAUUAGUCAAAGACUAGAGCUCAACUUUAGUAAGGCUAGUGAUACUAUAAUACUAGAGUAUCAGAGAGGAUGGCAGAAUUCCUGGUGUAGCGGUGAAAUGCGUAGAUAUCAGGAGGAAUACCGUUAGCGAAGGCGGCAAUCUGGCUGGAAACUGACGCUGAGGUGCGAAAGCGUGGGUAGCAAACAGGAUUAGAUACCCUUGUAGUC
rnacentral:rRNA from 1 species